ensembl:rRNA 5S_rRNA 5S ribosomal RNA
GCCUAUGGCCACACCACCCAGAAUGCACUUGAUCUUGUCUGAUGUCAGAAGCUAACCCGAGUCGGGGCUGGUUAGUACUCGAAUGGGAAAACUGUUAGGAAGCGACUAGGCAGGUU